ncrna:Pristionchus pacificus microRNA ppc-mir-8364j precursor
UCUUCAUUUCUCACGUGCUCUCUCACCGGUCAGAGAGGCGAGAGAGUGUGCGAAAUGAAGAGA